CCUUGCUGCAGCAGGAGAGGCGGCACUGCGAGGGAGUUGAACGGGUUCAUUUGAGAGUGUGUGAGUGUGUACGCAGGAGAGCGGGAGGAAGCUUUGUGUGAGCGAAAGAGGAGUGGGAGAAUGUGGGUGACUACAGCUGUCGUAGCCACCAUCCGAAGACCAAACCACUUUUCAAUUUUUUUCUUCCUUUUUUUCCUUCCGGUUUUUUUGUUGUUUUUCAUUAUUAUUGUACAUGUCUAUUUUUAUCUGUGUGUGCAUAUAUUGAUGAGCAGCUAUGGGCUUGCACUCGUUGCCCCCUCGCUCGUCUUCCACUGCACGGGAGGUAGGCAGACACCGUACGAUAGAGAGGACAGCGUGCCUCUCUUUGUGACUGCCCUUGGGCUGACUUGUUCCUCUGCUGGGUGCGGCACUGCAGCGCGCCUUCAGGGGAGCACUCGGAGGCCCCCCAGAGGGCCGAGCUGCACUGGAGAGGGGAUCCCAACUGUAAGUAUAGGGGCCUCAGACCCCACACCCCACCCUCUUCACCACCUCAUCCCCACAACCACCCCCUAGCUCACUGCCUCUAUUCAUUCACAUGUGUGCACCGAGGAAGGAAUGUUGCCCCCUCACUUUUGCCUCUUUUACCCACUCCCUCCACUUCUUUUUGCUCCCUUCUUCUUCAUUGUACAUUGUGCAUUCUCCUUCCUUCUCAAAUCAGAUUCAUAGCCAUUAACACAUUCAAAAGAAACUCACUUGUUAUCGUUGAGAUGUUAAAGUUUAUUUAGUUGUCAGCUAGAUCACAGGGGCUUGUUUAGAGUGACAGAGCGCGAUGGUGGGGGUGGGUGGUGAGGGCUCUAUGACUUGGGGGUUGAUGGAGAGGGGCCGCUGUGGGGUCUGGCUCCACUCAGUAUUGAAGUCGACGACUGUAGCGUGCUGACUCAUGCUCCAUCUUACCAAUUGGGAGCAUGUGAGUGCGUGCGUGUGUGAGCGUGAGUGUGGUCACUCCCCUGUGUGUCUCACAUACGCACUUGCACUCUGUGCCCCGCCUGAACUCAGCACUGACUGUAGACUGGGGCGGGGGCAGUCAGCACUGCCCCCCCCCCCCUCCACUAGUGACAAUCCAUCAAAACCUUCCCGUCUUGAACAAAAAGAGCCAGUUGUAGCUGUAGCCCGUGUCUUCUCCAACGUUAUCUGUUCUUUCACUCUGUCGCUGCAAGUGAUUCAUCGCAAACAAGAUUUCCUUUUUUUUUUUUUUUUUUUUUUAAUGGGCUUAUGUGGAAUGAGAAGGAGGAAAAGACUUUAAGUUGCGCAAAGACAGAUUAAGGCGUUUCGAGAACAAUGUUCCUUUUUUCUUGUAACUCGAGCCCGCUGCAGUUACAGGAGCGCGGCGAGGCAAUUUUACUCGCAGGCUGGGGUCAGCGGGGGCGUUCGGAGGGAGGACGGUGGGGGCUGCGACGUGUUUUAUUACCCCUGAUCUCUAUCUGUCCUGCACAUGGAGCUGCAUCCGUCGCCGGCUUACAGCGCGGGACGACGCUGUGCUCACUCGUCAGCGGAGGACAGCUAAACCCAGAAGGUUGCGAUCACCUCGCUUUAUUGGCAACGCGGCAUCGGGAGGACAAUUCAAGAGGGAAGGAUCAUCCCUUUUGCACCUCACCUUUCUCCUCAAUGUCAGCUUACUCGAUAGUUAAAGUUCCAUCUGUACUUUGGUGCUUGUCCCGGUGAGUGCGUUGCUCAAGUAGACACGCUGCUGGAAGUAAUUCAUUUAACCAACAAACAAAAAAAAAGUCACAGCUUCAACUUGUUUUUUUCCUUCCAUCAUUUACUGUUUUGCCUGGCUGUUUUCAGAGUAGUUUGAUGAGCUGUGUAAGUGUUUGCACAAGCUCUCAAGUCAGCUGCGGUAAAGUGUUCCAAGCCGUUGGAGACACCGCACGCUUCUUUCUUCUUGCGCGCCUCUCGCUACUUCCCAAGGCUAAACGAUAAAAAAAAACGGCCCGUGUCGGUCCUUUUGUCUGCCCUUAUUGUUCUGCCUGCGGGAAGGGAGCAUGAGUCAGCUACCAGAUGCAAGCAUGUAUUGAAUCACGACGACGACUGCGAAGGGAAACGAGAGAGUAGGCUAGUGCCGUUGCGUGUGCUCUCCUUUUUAUCUCCUAAUAGACUACUAGUGUGUCUAAACUAGCAGCCCGCACGAACUUACUGAUAAGUGCUUCUCUUUGUGAAAACCUUCAACUCGGCAUUAUGACUGUAAGCUCAUGAUAGGCAUUUAUGUAAAAUGUUGUUUUUUUUUUCACUUACUGCCUCUCUGUCUAGUUUCUUGUAUUUGUCAGUGAAGAGUUCUAUUUUCUGGUAUACCGCCGCCACGCUACACUGGACUGAGCGCAGCAGGCGCUCGAGCCGGCACAAGCGAGAGAGGGAAGGAGGAGCAGGAGGGGGGUGGGGUGGGGGGGAGCCUCAAGCGAGCGCACAGUGAAAAGCGUUUGUGCCGCUACCUCAGCUGAACUCUCGAAUGAACCCGUUGCACUGCCUUCAGUCGCAGAGCCAAGAGACGAAUCAGUCGAGUAGAUUCGACACAGAGAGGUACUGUUGGGCGGGCUGAAGCCUACGCUGGGCUCCCCACAUUCUCAUCUAGCGCUUUCCCCCUGUCAUGGUAAGUGGGAUUAUUAGGCUUUGUUCUGUCCACUGUCCUCGUGCUCAUCCGUGCCGGUCACUCUCCUGGCCUGUCACAUAGCUUAUCAGACUGGUGUUGGCUGUUAAGAUUACAAGGCGACAACAGUCUGUAGGCUGUCUGACAUUCUGGGCUCUUUCAUCUGACCAGCAUCCUGUUUUGUCCUCCUCCUCCUCCUCCUUCUCUCUUUGUCUCAGCUAGCAUCAGUUCCCAUUUCAGGGUGGGUGCGCUACUGUGAUACUUCCCUUUAUCCCAACCGCCUGUCAAGCAUUGGAGAGAUGCUUUAUUCUUUAUUUCUUCCUCCACUCUGAUAUCUGGGACCGGUUCAAAUGUGGAACAACAGUAUAUUUGUUGCAUUCACGUGUGUCAGUGCAGAUGAACUCACGUCAGUUGUGUGUUUGUGUGGGUGUGGGUAUGGGUGUUCCAGUGAGCUGUGUCCACUUCAAUUUCUAGAGAAUCCAGACAGUACACACCUCAUUGCAACACUUGCUAUUGUGACAGCACUCGUCAGUACUGUAUAGUACACACUGUGAGUGUGCUCUUCCCUUUUCCACUUCCCUGUCCUUAACUCUUCACUCUUGCUAAAUUAUUUUGUUCUACUGGAAUAACUUUGGGGUUGGCAUUUAUCCUUUUUGUGUCAGUCAGUCUCAAUUGUUGUGUUUUAAUGUAGACAAGGAUCAACUUUUCUCAGUCCUAAAACCACUCUGCUUUUCUUUUCCAAUGAUCUACUUUUCCUCCUCGAAAUUGUUUUAUAUUGUGUAACUGCCUCAUAUUACAUGUAACACUAUGCUGUAGGUUUUUUUUUCACUUCAAAUAAAGCAUUUUUUAAGCAUGUCUCUGAUCCUUAUUGAAGCUAUGACCACUCUGCGCUACAGAAAUUGACCCUGAAGCCUCUCAAGAAUCUCACGUCAGCCAAGAGAGGAUGAGGAGGAUCCAUCACCAUGUCUAACGUUUCACAUUCAAGCGCUUAUCACAUUACUGAUUUGCUCUCUCCACACUGACAUCAUAUCCAUUUUGAAUUGCAACCAAAAUGUUUUUUAUAGCACAUCCCUGAAAAUGUCAAUACCACACUCCUUUACCAUGAAUACACCAUAAAACAUUUAAAUAAUGAAUAUUUAUGGUCUAUAUAGCUUAAUUCACUUUGGUUUUUUUCGAGUUAGUUAUAUUUGAAUAGCGAUCAUUUCAAUUUCUGUGUGUGUGUGUGAUAAACUGUGUGCCCUAUAUACUGGCUAAUGACCAGUCCCAGGUGUACUAGCCUGCCUCUCAUCCAAAUUCAGAUGGGAUAGGCUCGUGUAUACACGAUGAUGAGGACCACCACUAAGAAAAUAGAUGGCUGGACAUGUGACUGCUUUUUUUUUUUCCCAAAGGGAAAAAAAUAGUGCCAUGGCCUUAACUGUGUGAAGCAAAUGUCAUAUUUGUGACUUGGAUGCAUGGAAUUCUUUAUCCAACCACACCCAGAGCACCACAGACAAGAAAAAGUGGACACCCACCCGGCCCCGCCCUGCCCCCUGAGGUCCGCAUGGAAACCCAACAUGCAAAUUCUCCCUGCCCGAACAAACACGGAGACCAAAAUUCAAUGUGCGUUCACUAAUUCCUACAUUCAGAGGGUGCCAAUUUGAAUGUGUCUUGCUUUUAAUUCCUGGCACACUGACCCACUCUCCCCCCGAGUCCUUCUCGUCUCUCAGAGCGGUGCUGUCUGUGAAAUUCUGAAAUAUUCUGUAACCUCAUAAAAACUCCCCCUUAAGUCUUCUCUUUAUUUCAUUUACCAUUUUGUUCCCUUCCCAGUUGUUAUCUGUGGAAGUACAGAGCAUGACUUUUAAUAUUCCCCCUACCCGUAAUCUCCCCCCUCCUACAAAGUCAAAUGACAGUCCUUUGUCUUAUCUAUAAAGCAGACCAAGUUUGUUUGUUUUUGUUUUUUUUUUUUUAUAAACUACAAACUGACUUGAUGUUAU